GGCUGGUGACAAGGCCUUAUGCUCAAUAGUGAUAGCACGCCGCUGUCUGAGGGCAAAGGCCUGGGCAAGUUAGCUCCGGCUCUUAUCAGGAUCCUGCCAGUGGUUUACUUAUAGAGCUAUGGUAGAAAGCCGGAGCCGGAGCGAGCCGGAGCAAACCGGAACCGGAGCUGCCGCUAGCCGGGCAAGCGCCUCCAGGGCGGGACUUCCGGUUUAUGGACCAAAAAGCGGGCGGGUCAGAGGUCAAGAUCUCGCGUAGCGGCGUGACGUAGGGGGGCGUAACCAAGAUACCUUCGCGCCGGAAACAGCGUGUCAGGAGCCAGCCCACCGGGAUCGAGCGCGGAAAUUGAAAUCGAUUGAGAGAAGAGGAAGUUCCAAGAUAGUGAAUGGCUGGGAUCCGGUGAAUACUUGGAUGUGUACACCUUAGUUUGGAUAAACUCUUCUAAAAACCCCUGUUGCCUUUUCUUCUGCUUUCUGUACUGCUUCUGCAUGAGUCCACUGAGGUGAGAAGAGGCUACUAGGUCACCUGGAGCUGGAGUUAUGAGCCACGUGUCACGGUACUGAGGCCUGAACUCACUCGGGUCCUCUGGAAGAGCUUUUGACCAUGGAGCCACAUCAACCCUAGGAGCAAUCGAAGGAAAGGAGCUGUCUUUUCUGUGAAGGUGAGUGAGAAUAUGCAGAUUUCUGUUUGUGUGGAACUAGGAGCCUUCCCAGGCACUUAGGUCCAUAAGUUCUUUGUCUUAGUUUACCUGAAUUUCAGAUGAAACCAGGAAACAGAAAUUGACAAAGGGAAACGAUUUAUUUGUAGAUUGGGCGAAUAUUGAGUAGUUGGCUUAUUAAUUUUAAGUGUGUUUACAAACUAGAAGACAGAAAUUUGUGGAGGUGGUAAUUUUAUUCAACUCUGAGCUUGGAGAACUGAGUUCUAGGCCACAGGCCUCAUAGGAAAGCACUCCCCAUUUUCCCAGGGAGCCUCAGAUCUUGGGUUUUUCUAGGGCAGUGGGUAGAAAACUUCUGCUCUUACAGUCCUUUGUUCUCCCAUAGAGAGAUUUAUUCUAACUCUUCUGCAGUUUUGGAGCCCUGGGGACAUCCUGAAGUCCUAUUAACAUACUAAUAAGGGAAGGAAAGAAGUUUGAGCCCAAGUGUGAAGGAUUAGUCUGCCAGUGAAUAUGGUGAUAAUCAAGUCUUACCGGCUUUGUUUAUUUUGCAUAUUAAUGCAUACUUUGUAGUCUGUUCUGUUACAUACUCAUUUAAUUUCUUUCCUACCCGGACAAGGCCAUCUUAACAAUUUAUAGGAUGGCAGGAGACCCGCUAGAACAUGGGCGGAUUUAGCUUUGAGGUGCGUUGUCUAGUCCAUCACUGGGUGGAAGGGAGCCGAACUCCAGGUCGCUUCUGUUCUCUCUUAAUGGAGAUAGGUUUUUCUUUAAGUCUGGGCUGAGGAAAAUGGAGUUGUAAUGAUACCAUCCUCCAGUUUUAAAAAGGAAAACAACCACCUUUUAUUUUUUUAAGUGAGUGUGGGGGUGGAGGGGCACGGUACAAUUCCCACUCAUAGUCCUUGCCAAGUUCUUUGUGCCUAUGUAUGGAAGUGGAAGCCUUUUGUAUUUUGUCUUGUGUGUGAGCUUCCUUGUGAAUUCCUUUCCUGUAAGGAUUCAAAUUCUCUGAGUGAAAAAAGAUGAGUGUGAUCUCUGCAGGGACCUGCUGUCUCUCAUUAGCAGUAGUUCUCACCCUUCCUAAGUGCUAUGACCCUUUAAUACAGUUCCUCAUGUUGUGGUGAUACCCAAACAAAAUUAUUUUGUCCCUACUUCAAAACUGUAAUUUUGCUUCUGUUACUGAAAGACGCCUCCCUCUCGAAAGAAAAUUACAUGAGUUUAAGGUCCACAAAUAUAAAGUAAAAGUUUUAAGAUUCACAGACUCAGAGCUGAAGCAGGCCUGGGCGAGCCCAGACACGCCCAGGCGCAUAGGGCCUGGGUCGCCGUUAGAACUAACAGACCAUAAAAGGAAAAAGAAUGCAGAACAAGCCCGGGGUAUCGGAUCUGACUCAGGGGCCAUCUGGCAGGAAGAGAUAAGCCCCUAGCCCCUGACAUUCCAGACGCCCCAGCCUGCACGUACUCUUUUACCAUGUUGUAACCUCAUUUGAAUGUGUUUAAAACAGCCAAUUGUGUGUAGCUAUACAUUUGUACUUCAUUUGAAUAUCGUAUGGAAUAGCCAAUUAUGUGUGACCAUGCUUCUGCGCCUCAUUUGAAUCCACCAAUCCCUGUAACCAUGCAUCUGCUUCUGUAUGCCCGCUUCUGCUCCCCAGAACCCUAUAAAAGCCCCCUGCUGGAUCUGCGCGGCGCGCAAGUCUUCUGAAGAGACUG